rfam:Desulfitibacter sp. BRH_c19 BRHa_1006444, whole genome shotgun sequence.
UAGGUAGGCUAUGGUGACCCUGUAGGUAUGCAUGCAACACAUGCUCUAGCGUCUGGGAUGGGCGGAAUUCGAACUGCUGGAGAUCUAGUAGGACGGAUGC